rnacentral:rRNA from 1 species
UUGCAGUUAAAAAGCUCGUAGUUGGAUUUCUGGCAGAGUGUCCUCCGGCCAGCAGUUCGUUUGGUCCGGAGCGCUCUACCAUCCUUCUGUUAACCUUUACGGAAUCCACUUUCUGCAUCGGGGCUCAGAUAUUUUGCCUUGAGAAAAUUAGAGUGUUUCAGGCAGGCUAGCGCCGGAAUACAUUAGCAUGGAAUAAUGGAAAAGGACUUCAGCCUCUUCUGUUGGUCUGGGAGGCUGUAGUAAUGAUUAAUAGGGAUAGUUGGGGGCAUUAGUACUAACUGUCAGAGGUGAAAUUCUCCGAUUUGUUAAAGACUAACUUAUGCGAAAGCAUUUGCCCAGGAUGUUUUCAUUAAUCAAGAACGAAAGUUAGGGGAUCAAAGACGAUCAGAUACCGUCCUAGUCUUACCCAUAAACUAUGCCGACUCGGGAUCGGAGGCACGCAAAAUCGGUCUUCGGCACCGUAUGA